rnacentral:rRNA from 1 species
AGUGAACGCUGGCGGUAGGCCUAACACAUGCAGGUCGAACGGCAGCACAGUAAGAUCUUGCUCUUACGGGUGGCGAGUGGCGGACGGGUGAGGAAUACAUCGGAAUCUACUUUUUCGUGGGGGAUAACGUAGGGAAACUUACGCUAAUACCGCAUACGACCUACGGGUGAAAGCAGGGGAUCUUCGGACCUUGCGCGAUUGAAUGAGCCGAUGUCGGAUUAGCUAGUUGGCGGGGUAAAGGCCCACCAAGGCGACGAUCCGUAGCUGGUCUGAGAGGAUGAUCAGCCAGACUGGAACUGAGACACGGUCCAGACUCAUACGGGAGGCAGCCGUGGGGAAUAUUGGACAAUGGGCGCAAGCCUGAUCCAGCCAUACCGCGUGGGUGAAGAAGGCCUUCGGGUUGUAAAGCCCUUUUGUUGGGAAAGAAAAGCAGCAGGUUAAUACCCCGCUGUUCUGAAGGUACCCAAAGAAUAAGCACCGGCUAACUUCGUG